UGAAAUCAUCACAGAUUGCCUAUUCAGAUAAACACAGCCUUAUAUAGACAUGAAAUUUUACUCUUGUAGUAAGGCAGUUAUUUAAUAUAUGCUAUAAAAUCUAAUAAAGUUUUGAGAUGUAAGUCACAUAUCAUUCUAUAUAAUAUAUACAAGUAUGUCUAGAACACAACAGCUGUAGCCAAGUAUCUGCCUUCGUUCAUGUCAGGAAGUUCCUGCCAUGAAAAUCGCUCAAAAUUGAAA
rnacentral:lncRNA from 1 species